UUUUUUGAGACAGAGUCUCGCUCUGUCACCCAGUCUGGAGUGCAGUGGCAUGAUUUCGACUCACUGCAACCUCCACCUCCCCAGUUCAAGCGGUUAUCCUGCCUCAGCCUCCCGAGUAGCUAGGAUUACAGGCACCUGCCACCACACCUAAUUUUUUUUGUGUUUUUAGUAGAGACGGGUUUCACCUUGUUGGCCAGGCUGGUCUCGACCUCCUGACCUCAGGUGAUCUACCCACCUCGGCCUCCCGAAGUGCUAGGAUUACAGGCGUGAGCAACUGCGCCCAGUCUUAUUUCCAUUUUUGUAAGUAAUUUUUUUCCUUUUAAAAAAUAAUUUCAAUUUUUCGUUUAGAUUUGGGGUACAUUUGCAGGUUUAUUACAUGGGUAUAUUGUGUGAUGCUGAGGUUUGGGGUACAAGUGAUCCAAUUACCCAGGUAGUGAGCAUAGUACCAAUAGUUAGUUUUUCAGCCUUUACCGGGUAUCUUCCUUCCCACUCUAGUAGUCCCAGUGUCUGUUGUUGCCAUCUUUAUAUCCAUGUGUACCCAAUGUUUAGAUCCCACUUACUUAUAAGUGAGAACAUAUGGUAUUUGGUUUUUUGUUCCUGAGUUAAUUUGCUUAGGAUAACGGCCUCCAGCUUCAUCCAUGUUGGUACAAAAGACUUGAUUUUGUUCUUUUUUAUGGCUGUGUAGUAGUCCAUGGUAGGUAUGUACCACACUUGUUUUAUCCAGUCCACGUUGAUGGGCAGCUAGGUUGAUUCCAUGUCUUUGCUAUUGUGAAUAGAGCUAUGAUGAAACAUAUGAGUACAUGUGUCUUUUUGGUAGAAUGAGGUAUUUUCUUUUGGAUAUAUUCCAAGUUGGAAUAGCUGGGUCGAAUGGUAGUUCUGGUUUAAGUUCUUUGAGAAAUCUCCAAACUGCUUUCCACAGUGGCUGCAUUAAUUUACAUUCCCACCAGCAGGGUACAAGCAUUUCCUUUUCUCUACAGCCCCGCCAGUAUCUGUUGUGUUUUGACUUUUUAAUAAUAGCCAUUCUGACUGUUGUGAGAUGGUAUCUCAUUGUGGUUUUGAUUUGCAUUUCUCUAAUGAUGAGUUAUGUUGAGCGUUUUGUCAUGUUUGUUGGCUGCUUGUAUGUCCAUGUCUUUUGGCCACUUUUUAAUGGGGUUGUUUUUUCCUUGUUUAGUUGUUAGUUUCUUACAGAUUCUGGCUGCUAGACUAUUGUUGGAUGCAUAGUUUGUAAAAAUUUUCUCCCAUUCUGUAGGUUGUCUGUUUACUCUGAUGAUGGUUUGUUUUGCUAUGUAGAAGCUCUUUAGUUUAAUUGGCAAUUUUUGUUUUUGUUGCAUUUGCUUUUCAGGACUUAAUCGUAAAUUCUUUUCCAAGGCCAAUGUGCAGCAUGGUGCUUUCUAGGUUUUCUUCCAGGAUUCUUUUAUUUGAGGUCUUACAUUUCAGUCUUUAAUCCAUCUUGAGUUAAUUUUUGUUUAUGGUAAAACAUAGGGGUCCAGUUUCAUUCUUCUGCAUAUGGCUAGCCAGUUAUCCUAGCACCAUUUAUUGAAUAGAGAGUCCUUUCCCCAUUGCUUAUUUUUGUCAGCUUUGUUGAAGAUCAGAUGCCUGUAGGUGUGCGGCUUUAUUUCUAGGUUCUCUGUUCUAUUCCAUUGGUCUAUUUGUCUGUUUUUAUACCACAACCAUGCUGUCUUGGUUACUGUAGCCUUAUAGUAUAGUUUGAAGUCAGGUAAUGUGAUUCCUCAGGCUUUGUUCUUUUGCUUAGUAUUGCUUUGGCUAUUCAGUCUCUUUUUUGUUUCUUUAUGAAUUUUAGAAUAGUUUUUUCUAAUUCUGUGAAAAAUGACAUUGGUAGUUUGAUAGAAAUAGCAUUGAGGCCAGUUGUGGUGCCUUACGCCUGUAAUCCUAGCACUCUGGGAGGUCAAGGAGAGAGGAUCGCUUGCUCAGGAGUCUUGAGACUAGCCUGGGCAACAUGGUGGGACCUCGUCUCUACAAAAAAUUUUAAAAAAUUAACCAGGCAUGUUGGUGGGCACCUAUACUGCCAGCUACUCGGGAGGCUGAAGUGGGACUAUCACUUGAGCCUGGGAAGUCGAAGCUGCAGUGAGCCGUGAUCAUGCCACUGCCCUUCCAGCCUGGGUGGACAGAGUGAUACCUUCUC
rnacentral:lncRNA from 1 species